rnacentral:rRNA from 1 species
GAGUUUGAUCGUGGCUCAGAGUGAACGCUGGCGGUAGGCCUAACACAUGCAAGUCGAACGGUAACAGGUCUUUCGGGAUGCUGACGAGUGGCGGACGGGUGAGGAAUACAUCGGAAUCUGCUCAGUCGUGGGGGAUAACGCAUGGAAACGUGCGCUAAUACCGCAUACGACCUUCGGGUGAAAGCAGGGGAAUCUCUCGGGAUCCUUGCGCGAUUGAAUGAGCCGAUGUCGGAUUAGCUAGUUGGUAGGGUAAAAGCCUACCAAGGCCACGAUCCGUAGCUGGUCUGAGAGGAUGAUCAGCCACACUGGGACUGAGACACGGCCCAGACUCCUGCGGGAGGCAGCAGUGGGGAAUAUUGGACAAUGGGGGCAACCCUGAUCCAGCCAUACUGCGUGGGUGAAGAAGGCCUUCUGGGUUGUAAAGCCCUUUUGUUGGGGAAGAAAAACAACGGGUUAAUACCCCGUUGGUAUGACGGUACCCAAAGAAUAAGCACCGGCUAACUUCGUGCCAGCAGCCGCGGUAAUACGAAGGGUGCAAGCGUUACUCGGAAUUACUGGGCGUAAAGGGUGCGUAGGUGGUUGCGCCAGUCUGUCGUGAAAGCCCUGGGCUUAACCUGGGAAUGGCGAUGGAAACUGUGCAACUAGAGUGUGACAGAGGGUGGUGGAAUUCCUGGUGUAGCAGUGAAAUGCGUAGAGAUCAGGAGGAACAUUCGUGGCGAAGGCGGCCACCUGGGUCAACACUGACACUGAGGCACGAAAGCGUGGGGGGCAAACAGGAUUAGAUACCCUGGUAGUCCACGCCCUAAACGAUGCGAACUGGAUGUUGGGUCCAACUUGGGAUUCAGUAUCGAAGCUAACGCGUUAAGUUCGCCGCCUGGGGAGUACGGUCGCAAGACUGAAACUCAAAGGAAUUGACGGGGGCCCGCACAAGCGGUGGAGUAUGUGGUUUAAUUCGAUGCAACGCGCAGAACCUUACCUGGCCUUGACAUGCAC